rnacentral:lncRNA from 1 species
UAUAUUCUUAGCAAAUAUAUGAAUUAACUUUUUUCAUAAUUUAAAACAGAAGUAUUGAAAGGAUGGCGUGUAUUGUUACAUAGUUGGUGGAUCAAACGACUUAUAUAAUUUAUUUAUAUUGGGUGAAAUGAGUCAUUUAUUAAUUAUGAGACUAAUGAGACAUGUUUAGAGAAUAAUAUAAUAAAGUAUAUGUGGUACAUUAUUUUUGUGUAGCAAAUGGUACGGUCAUCUAAUAAAGGAUAGCAUAUAUGUCGUAUAACUUUGUUCUUGUACAAAAUAAUGUGGUCUAAUAAAUAAAUGUAUUAUUAAAUGUUUGUUAGAG